GGACCAGUCCUAGGUUGGCCAUUCCCCC
rnacentral:piRNA from 1 species